GGGUUGCGGACAGUGUCUGGUGGGUAGUUUGACUGGGGCGGUCUCCUCCCAAAGAGUAACGGAGGAGCACGAAGGUUAGCUAAUCCUGGUCGGACAUCAGGAGGUUAGUGCAAUGGCAUAAGCUAGCUUGACUGCGAGCGUGACGGCGCGAGCAGGUGCGAAAGCAGGUCAUAGUGAUCCGGUGGUUCUGAAUGGAAGGGCCAUCGCUCAACGGAUAAAAGGUACUCCGGGGAUAACAGGCUGAUACCGCCCAAGAGUUCAUAUCGACGGCGGUGUUUGGCACCUCGAUGUCGGCUCAUCACAUCCUGGGGCUGAAGUAGGUCCCAAGGGUAUGGCUGUUCGCCAUUUAAAGUGGUACGCGAGCUGGGUUUAGAACGUCGUGAGACAGUUCGGUCCCUAUCUGCCGUGGGCGCUGGAGAAUUGAGGGGGGCUGCUCCUAGUACGAGAGGACCGGAGUGGACGCAUCACUGGUGUUCGGGUUGUCAUGCCAAUGGCACUGCCCGGUAGCUAAAUGCGGAAGAGAUAAGUGCUGAAAGCAUCUAAGCACGAAACUUGCCCCGAGAUGAGUUCUCCCUGAGACU
rnacentral:rRNA from 1 species